GCGUGCCCCAAAGUGUGUCUAUCUUCUUCCUCCUUGAGCUUGUGUGCCUGCGUCAGACUUCUUCUUCCGUAGCUACUCCACCAUAUAUGCUUACUUAGGCCCUGUUCGGAUCCUCUCCGCUCCCCAACUGCAGCUCCCGGAGCGGAGGGAGCGCCAGCACAACUGCAGGGAGCCCCUGCUCGAACUGAGCUCCUCGCGCGGAGCGGAGUUACGAGACUGGAGAGCUUCUGAACAGGCAGUUAGCAACCAAGGAAGCGAUUUCUUCUUGGAGCAGCCAGCUUCCACAAUGGGCGUCACUCCUUCAACACAAGACCCAUCCUCCUCUUCAUAUUGCUACUUGCACCGGUGGCGCCGCGGGUUUCCUCUUCUUCUUCUCGGUCUGAUGUACAAAAUCUUCUUCUGCUCCUCCUUCCCCGCCGUCUCAGGAGCUCACAUGCCUGGCAGAACCAUGGCUGAAAUGGAUAGCGAGAAGGUCCGUGUAAGACUAUGCGUUCGUCUACCACAUUAUGAAUGCCCCGAUCCUCCACAGUGUAACUGCUGUCUCGUGACUGAAUUAUGCUACACGACCAUGGCUGAGUGCAUCAUAGAGUGUGAGAAACUCUAAAGAAAUAAUGCCUGAUAUUUCAUUUUUGUGUAAUGAAAUCGAGUAAAAGUAAUAUUCUAGCAAUUGUUGCUUAGUACAUAUUUGGCUUGGCAAAAGAAUGAAAUUCCUUCCCCGCAAAAAAAAAGAAUGAAAUUCCAAUAGAAUCUCUUUGUAACUGGACAAGAAAAACGC